rnacentral:rRNA from 1 species
UACGGAGGGGGCUAGCGUUAUUCGGAAUUACUGGGCGUAAAGCGCACGUAGGCGGCUUUGUAAGUAAGGGGUGAAAGCCCGGAGCUCAACUCCGGAACUGCCUUUUAGACUGCAUCGCUUGAAUCCAGGAGAGGUGAGUGGAAUUCCGAGUGUAGAGGUGAAAUUCGUAGAUAUUCGGAAGAACACCAGUGGCGAAGGCGGCUCACUGGACUGGUAUUGACGCUGAGGUGCGAAAGCGUGGGGAGCAAACAGG